rnacentral:rRNA from 1 species
AGAGUUUGAUCAUGGCUCAGAAUCAACGCUGGCGGCGUGCCUAACACAUGCAAGUCGCACGAGAAAGUGGAGCAAUCCAUGAGUACAGUGGCGCACGGGUGAGUAACACGUGACUUAUCUACCUCCGAGUGGGGAAUAACCUAGAGAAAUCUGGGCUAAUACCGCAUAACACUUACGAGUCAAAGCAGCAAUGCGCUUGGAGAGGAGGUCGCGGCAGAUUAGUUAGUUGGCGGGGUAAUGGCCCACCAAGACGAUGAUCUGUAUCCGGCCUGAGAGGGCGCACGGACACACUGGAACUGAAACACGGUCCAGACUCCUACGGGAGGCAGCAGUGGGGAAUUUUGCGCAAUGGGGGAAACCCUGACGCAGCAACGCCGCGUGGAGGAUGAAAUCCCUUGGGAUGUAAACUCCUUUCGAUCGGGACGAUUAUGACGGUACCGGAAGAAGAAGCCCCGGCUAACUUCGUGCCAGCAGCCGCGGUAAUACGAGGGGGGCAAGCGUUGUUCGGAAUUAUUGGGCGUAAAGGGCGCGUAGGCGGUUUGACAAGUCUGAUGUGAAAUCUCUGGGCUCAACCCAGAGUCUGGCAUUAGAAACUGUCGGGCUUGAGUAUGGGAGAGGUGAGUGGAAUUUCCGGUGUAGCGGUGAAAUGCGUAGAUAUCGGAAGGAACACCUGUGGCGAAAGCGGCUCACUGGACCAUAACUGACGCUGAGGCGCGAAAGCUAGGGGAGCAAACAGGAUUAGAUACCCUGGUAGUCCUAGCCCUAAACGAUGAUUGCUUGAUGUGACAGGUACCCAAUCCUGUCGUGUCGAAGCUAACGCGAUAAGCAAUCCGCCUGGGGAGUACGGUCGCAAGGC